UUUCUAUUAACUUCGAUUAUUUAUAUUAAUAAUGUCUAACAAGAAACAACAGCCUGCAUUUCAAGGGAAGGAAUGUUUCAGUCGUAUGAAUUUCCUCUUCCAAGCCUCCAUGCUAAUGGCAGGCAAGAACAACACGUUAUCUGCCUACUAUGGCGAACUAUGUCGGAGUAUUGGCAAGAAAGCUGUGCUUAAAAUUGAUCCAGACAUAAAGCGUCAGAUGUGUAAACGCUGUUCAGUGGCAUUAAAACCAGGCAUAACCGCUGAUCUGCACGCUGUGACGAGACGGAAGCGUCGAAAGACGCUGAAAAUUAAUGAUAAUGUGGAUGAAGAUACAAGCAUGGUAUUGACCUGCCGUCAUUGCGGUUUUGGACGCCAGUUUAUAGUUAAUCCAGAUUACAAAUUUUGGUUGGACAAUGAGGAAUCUGUGGUGGAAACUAUUACUUUGGAAGACAAGAAGAGUGAGAAGAAACGAAAGCGGGCAACAGUCAAAGAAAAAGAAAAAGCAGAAGCUACCACAAAAGCAAAAUAGUUUUACUAUAGAAAGAGAAAAAUAAACAUUCCACAUAGUAUAUGUAUUUGUACAUAUGUAGUAUGCAUUUGAGAUAACAAUAGCGCCGUAGAGUACGUAAAAAAAGUAUUGAUAAUGAAUAGUAAAUAGUAUCCGUGAUUACAAAGUGUUUCUAUAAUUUCUCUGAGGAAUAUUAGGAGUGAUCCAGCCUCACAUUAGUAUUUCCGUCUGAAGUAAUCUUUACAACAAAAAAAAAAAAAAACAA